rnacentral:piRNA from 1 species
UACGAAGAUUGUUUGAAUGGGCUGU